rnacentral:rRNA from 1 species
CCUACGGGAGGCAGCAGUGAGGAAUAUUGGUCAAUGGGCGCUAGCCUGAACCAGCCAAGUAGCGUGAAGGAUGACUGCCCUAUGGGUUGUAAACUUCUUUUGUAUGGGAAUAAAGUGCAGUAUGUAUACUGCUUUGCAUGUACCUUAUGAAUAAGGAUCGGCUAACUCCGUGCCAGCAGCCGCGGUAAUACGGAGGAUCCGAGCGUUAUCCGGAUUUAUUGGGUUUAAAGGGUGCGGAGGCGGGUUGUUAAGUCAGUUGUGAAAGUUUGCGGCCUAACCGUAAAAUUGCAGUUGAUACUGGCAGCCUUGAGUACAGGAGAGGUAGGCGGAAUGCGUGGUGUAGCGGUGAAAUGCAUAGAUAUCACGAAGAACUCCGAUUGCGAAGGCAGCCUGCUGGACUGUAACUGACGCUGAUGCUCGAAAGUGUGGGUAUCAAACAGGAUUAGAUACCCCUGUAGUC